GACUGCGUAGCUCAGUUGGCAGAGCAUUGGGCUAGUAUUCCAAAGGUCGUAGGUUCGAAUCCCACUGUAGCCA